AUACGUAGGGGGCGAGCGUUGUCCGGAAUGAUUGGGCGUAAAGGGCGCGUAGGCGGCCCGGUAAGUCUGGAGUGAAAGUCCUGUUUUUAAGAUGGGAAUUGCUUUGGAUACUGUCGGGCUUGAGUGCAGGAGAGGGAAGUGGAAUUCCCAGUGUAGCGGUGAAAUGCGUAGAGAUUGGGAGGAACACCAGUGGCGAAGGCGACUUACUGGACUGUAACUGACGCUGAGGCGCGAAAGUGUGGGGAGCAAACAGGAUUAGAUACCCUGGUAGUCCACACUGUAAACGAUGAAUGCUAGGUGUAGGGGGUAUCGACCCCUUCUGUGCCGCAGUCAACACAAUAAGCAUUCCGCCUGGGGAGUACGGCCGCAAGGUUGAAACUCAAAUGAAUGGACGGGG
rnacentral:rRNA from 1 species